AAUUCGUAACACCGUGAACAAGAACCGAAGGAAAUUAAAACUCCCCUUCUUUCUUUCCCCAAUUCGUAACCCUAGCCCCUCAUUGCCGCCGUCGUCCCAAGCUCCUCAGCGCUGCCGUUGUCCCAAGCUCCUCAAUGCGGUCGCUUCUUCCUCUUCCCUGUUUUACAAAACCUAGAAAGCUCAGCACAUCGUAUUCAUCUUCGUUGGCUUCUCUGUUCGUCAAAGGUUAGUGGCGUCCGCUUUUGGGGUACUGCGCUCGUUAAGAUCUCUCCUCACACCUUCUCCGCCGUCGGCAUCAGCGUCUCCAUCGGUGUCUCAGUUCUCAGUGCUGCUUGGGGGAUUUACGUGCUGCAAUCAAGACUCCCCGAAUCACUUCCACGAAUCUCAUUAGGAUCAUCUUCAAAAUUUGAAACAAGCUGGAUACAGUGAUGAUGAAGCGCUUCAAACGGUUUUUGGAAAGGAGAGACAUGGUAGAGUUCGUUUUUAUGGUCGAUCAGUCACAAAAUCCUCUCUUAAAAAGGAUAAGCAAAUCUGACAAAUGCAACAACAACAUACUGAAGUGGUUUCAACUAUGGAGAAAAAUAAAAAUAACUUAACUUCUAAGUUGGAUGGUUUAACGAGCUUGAUCAAAACAUUGUUGCAACAAGUUAAUCCUGGUAUGAGUGCGGAACAAGUGCAAGUAAUGAUAGAAGCUGCCCAACAAUAUCCGCCUGAUGCAAGUAGUGCACCAAAUGAUGCGAGGCGAAGCAUUCCUCUUUCACUGGGAUCGAACCAUGUGUCAAAAGAUAUGGAAGUAAGUACUAUCAAAAUUAGUAGUUAAAUUAAUAGUGGUUGAUUGCUUAAUAGUGGCUGAUUGCUGUUGAUGUUAAUUUUAUUGUUGAUUUUAUUGGCCUUAAGCGAAUCUACAGUAGAAUCUAGUUCGUUAUCAAAUUAAAAAUUUUAACCACUAUAUAAAAUAAUUACACUAUUUUAUCAAAUUAAAAAUAUGUUACAUGGUCAUCAAAUUGGACAUUUGUCUAAUUGGCUCCAUGAGUACUUAUUGAAUAGAAGAGUAAGAAACUAAUUACGAACUAAGAUGCAUAAUCUACCAUCAUUUUUUUUCAGAAGGUAUAGAAAAAUAGAUAAAGCAAUAAUAAUACAUGAAGGUGAAGGGAUAGCAAUCAGCAUUGAAUCAGUACUCAGUAAUAUAUAGCAAUCAGCAUUAUUAUUAUUUUAAAUUUGACUUUGUCUACUGAUUUCACACUCGAUCUGGUUUUUCUGUUUCGCUAGUGUUGAUUACUUGAUUUGUUUGAUGGAUUGGAAGCUAAUAAUAGUAUUUCGGUAUUACCUUAUUUUUUAAGCUUCUAUUUUGGUUGUGGUUGUUUCUUUGUGCUGGAUUUUUUUCAGUUUUAAGCGACUUCAACAGGGGAGUUGAAGUUCCACUCAAAGAUAGAUUAAAAACAUAUACACAUUACCAAAUGGCUCAAAACCUUAGCAAAUGCUCUUUGUUAUUUAGUGAUUGAAAUUUUCAUAUUGAUUGACUUAUUUAACUUGUGCUCCAUAUUCAUUACUCAACUGUACUGCAUGCAUCAACAAAAAUAUUUUUGUUCUAUUUUAACUUCUUUAUUUCUUUUGCUAGCAGGAGUACAUGAUAUGAAAAAAAUAUGUUCUAUACAAAUAUAAGAUGGGAUGGGUCUUAUAAUGAUUUUGGUUAUCUAAAUGUAUUAUUUUGAUGUGUUCUUUACAUUUUGAUAAGAGACUUUAUCUGAUAUUACAUGUAAUGGAUAAAUUACACCCUAUUUUGAUUAGUGUUGUAAUGGAUAUCUAGUUUUUAAUGAAACUUUUAUGAUUUA